AUUUAUAUAGUUUAAUAAAAACACUACAUUUUCACUGUAAAAUUAGAAUUAUAUUCUUAUAAAUA
rnacentral:tRNA from 1 species